AGCGAACGCUGGCGGCAGGCCUAACACAUGCAAGUCGAACGAACUCUUCGGAGUUAGUGGCGGACGGGUGAGUAACACGUGGGAACGUGCCUUUAGGUUCGGAAUAACUCAGGGAAACUUGUGCUAAUACCGAAUGUGCCCUUCGGGGGAAAGAUUUAUCGCCUUUAGAGCGGCCCGCGUCUGAUUAGCUAGUUGGUGAGGUAAAGGCUCACCAAGGCGACGAUCAGUAGCUGGUCUGAGAGUAUGAUCAGCCACAUUGGGACUGAGACACGGCCCAAACUCCUACGGGAGGCAGCAGUGGGGAAUCUUGCGCAAUGGGCGAAAGCCUGACGCAGCCAUGCCGCGUGAAUGAUGAAGGUCUUAGGAUUGUAAAAUUCUUUCACCGGGGACGAUAAUGACGGUACCCGGAGAAGAAGCCCCGGCUAACUUCGUGCCAACAGCCGCGGUAACAC
rnacentral:rRNA from 1 species